UAAGGGCGCACGGUGGAUGCCUUGGCACUAGGAGCCGAUGAAGGACGGGACUAACACCGAUAUGCUUUGGGGAGCUGUACGUAAGCUAUGAUCCAGAGAUUUCCGAAUGGGGGAACCCAACAUCUUUAAUAGGAUGUUACGAUUGUGUGAAUACAUAGCACAUUCGAGGUAGACGCAGAGAACUGAAACAUCUAAGUACCUGCAGGAAGAGAAAGAAAAUUCGAUUCCCUGAGUAGCGGCGAGCGAAACGGGAAAAGCCCAAACCAGCAAGCUUGCUUGUUGGGGUUGUAGGACUCCAAUAUGGUAGUUCUUUCAGAUAGUCGAAUGACUUGGAAAAGUCAGUCAAAGAGGGUAAAAACCCCGUAGACGAAAUGUGGAAGACACCUAGGAGGAUCCUGAGUACGGCGGAACACGAGAAAUUCCGUCGGAAUCCGGGAGGACCAUCUCCCAAGGCUAAAUACUCCCUAGUGACCGAUAGUGAACCAGUACCGUGAGGGAAAGGUGAAAAGCACCCCGGAAGGGGAGUGAAAUAGAACCUGAAACCGUGUGCCUACAACAAGUCAAAGCCCGUUAAUGGGUGAUGGCGUGCCUUUUGUAGAAUGAACCGGCGAGUUACGAUUGCAUGCGAGGUUAAGUUGAAGAGACGGAGCCGCAGCGAAAGCGAGUCUGAAUAGGGCGUUUGAGUAUGUAGUCGUAGACCCGAAACCAUGUGAUCUACCCAUGUCCAGGUUGAAGGUGCGGUAAAACGCACUGGAGGACCGAACCCACGUACGUUGAAAAGUGCGGGGAUGAGGUGUGGGUAGCGGAGAAAUUCCAAACGAACUUGGAGAUAGCUGGUUCUCUCCGAAAUAGCUUUAGGGCUAGCCUCGGAAUUGAGAAUGAUGGAGGUAGAGCACUGUUUGGACU
rnacentral:rRNA from 1 species